GAUAAGUACGAUACGCUGAUACACAAAAAGAGGCCCAAAAUUUCCUAUAGCAUAUCGGUAUGUAUCGUGCCGAUGCCUAUCGAUACGGAUAUGUAUCGGCCGAUACGGCACGAUACGCACCGAUACUUAAAACCAUGAGCAUAUGUUUUAAUCACUCCACUACCAGCUAAUAUUUAUUAGCAGUUCAUAGUACUUGGUUCUGCGAUUAAGGUUUCCCACUGAAAAUCCUAGAAAUGGAGAGUGUAUACAUAAUUUUUUUCCUUUAAUUUUUAUCUAAAUUGUUCAUUGAGGAUGGUCCCUUCUUUUUUGCAGGUCUCAUUUGUCUGAAUCAUCCCCCCACCCAACCAGGCAGUGUGCACUCACCGCUUAAGGUCAAGUGUGUGGCAACAGUCUUCCCCCAAAGAGAUUUUCCGGCAGCCUAUUUCAAUGCUUUUUGAAACAAAGUCUUCUUGAAGUUUGGGGUGUUAGAUGUACAGGGUUUACUCUUUAAUUCCAGGAGGAGUGGAAAGCUUUCAUUAGUAUGAGAAUUCUCUGUGAUUGUUCAUUUGGAUGGGAAACAAACUUUUAUGCUUCUACCGCCUCUCAUGCUGUUGAAGAGUCCUUCAAGAUGGGGUGAUAUCUUGCAUCUGGUUGGUUUGAAGUUCUUGCAUUUGUGGAAUCUGAUGCCGAAAAUGCCCUUGGACCUUUAAUGAUUAUUGAGUUGGCUUUUUCUUACCAA